UCGGCUACCACUUACAGAUGGACCCGCGGCGCAUUAGCUAGUUGGUGAGGUAACGGCUCACCAAGGCGACGAUGCGUAGCCGACCUGAGAGGGUGAUCGGCCACACUGGGACUGAGACACGGCCCAGACUCCUACGGGAGGCAGCAGUAGGGAAUCUUCCGCAAUGGACGAAAGUCUGACGGAGCAACGCCGCGUGAGUGAUGAAGGUUUUCGGAUCGUAAAGCUCUGUUGUUAGGGAAGAACAAGUGCCGUUCAAAUAGGGCGGCACCUUGACGGUACCUAACCAGAAAGCCACGGCUAACUACGUGCCAGCAGCCGCGGUAAUACGUAGGUGGCAAGCGUUGUCCGGAAUUAUUGGGCGUAAAGGGCUCGCAGGCGGUUUCUUAAGUCUGAUGUGAAAGCCCCCGGCUCAACCGGGGAGGGUCAUUGGAAACUGGGGAACUUGAGUGCAGAAGAGGAGAGUGGAAUUCCACGUGUAGCGGUGAAAUGCGUAGAGAUGUGGAGGAACAACCAGUGGCGAAGGCGACUCUCUGGUCUGUAACUGACGCUGAGGAGCGAAAGCGUGGGGAGCGAACAGGAUUAGAUACCCUGGUAGUCCACGCCGUAAACGAUGAGUGCUAAGUGUUAGGGGGUUUCCGCCCCUUAGUGCUGCAGCUAACGCAUUAAGCACUCCGCCUGGGGAGUACGGUCGCAAGACUGAAACUCAAAGGAAUUGACGGGGGCCCGCACAAGCGGUGGAGCAUGUGGUUUAAUUCGAAGCAACGCGAAGAACCUUACCAGGUCUUGACAUCCUCUGACAAUCCUAGACGAUAGCGACGUCCCCUUCGGGGGCAGAGUGACAGGUGGUGCAUGGUUGUCGUCAGCUCGUGUCGUGAGAUGUUGGGUUAAGUCCCGCAACGAGCGCAACCCUUGAUCUUAGUUGCCAGCAUUCAGUUGGGCACUCUAAGGUGACUGCCGGUGACAAACCGGAGGAAGGUGGGGAUGACGUCAAAUCAUCAUGCCCCUUAUGACCUGGGCUACACACGUGCUACAAUGGACAGAACAAAGGGCAGCGAAACCGCGAGGUUAAGCCAAUCCCACAAAUCUGUUCUCAGUUCGGAUCGCAGUCUGCAACUCGACUGCGUGAAGCUGGAAUCGCUAGUAAUCGCGGAUCAGCAUGCCGCGGUGAAUACGUUC
rnacentral:rRNA from 1 species